rnacentral:rRNA from 1 species
UACGAAGGGGGCUAGCGUUGCUCGGAAUCACUGGGCGUAAAGCGCACGUAGGCGGACUCUUAAGUCAGAGGGGAAAUCCUGGAGCUCAACUCCAGAACUGCCUUUGAUACUGGGAGCCUUGAGUUCGAGAGAGGUGAGUGGAACUGCGAGUGUAGAGGUGAAAUUCGUAGAUAUUCGCAAGAACACCAGUGGCGAAGGCGGCUCACUGGCUCGAUACUGACGCUGAGGUGCGAAAGCGUGGGGAGCAAACAGG